rnacentral:rRNA from 1 species
CUACGGGGGGCUCCAGCUGAGGAUCUUUUACAAUGCACGAAAGUGUGAUAAAGCGAGCCAGAGUGUUGUUCUUAGAACAACUUUUGUCUGCUGUAAAAAGGCAGAUGAAUAAGGACUGGGUAAGACCGGUGCCAGCCGCCGCGGUAAUACCGGCGGUCCAAGUUGCAUCCAUUUUUAUUGGGUCUAAAACAUUCGUAGCUUGUUUUGUAAGUUUCUUGUGAAAUCUUAUGUCUCAAACAUGAGGCUUGCAAGAAAUACUGCAUAACUAGAGACCGGAAGGCGUAAGGAGUAUGAUUGAGGUAGCGGUAAUAUGUGUUAAUCUUAAUCAGACUAACAAUGGCGAAGGCACCUUACGAGUACGGAUCUGACAGUGAGGGAUGAAGGCUAGGGGCGCAAAACGGAUUAGAUACCCGCGUAGUC